rnacentral:rRNA from 1 species
UACGUAGGGUGCGAGCGUUAAUCGGAAUUACUGGGCGUAAAGCGUGCGCAGGCUGUUUGGUAAGUCAGAUGUGAAAUCCCCGAGCUCAACUUGGGAACUGCGUUUGAAACUACCAGACUAGAAUAUGUCAGAGGGGGGUAGAAUUCCACGUGUAGCAGUGAAAUGCGUAGAGAUGUGGAGGAAUACCGAUGGCGAAGGCAGCCCCUGGGAUCAAUAUUAGACGUCUGC